GCCAGUGUGGCAUAGUUGGUUUGAGUGCUGGACUAUGACUCUGGAGAGGAGGGUUCGAUUCCCAGCUCGGCCA